CCAUCGAGGAGAGUAUCCUAAGGCGCUCGAGUGAUCCGUGGUAAAGGAACUAGGCAAAUUGACGCUGUAACUUCGGGAUAAGGCGUGCCACCUUUUAGGUGGCCUCAGUAAAAUGGUCCAACCAACUGUUUAACAAAAACACAGGGCCCUGCAAAAUCGUAAGAUGAAGUAUAGAGCCUGAUACCUGCCCGGUGCUGGAAGGUUAAGGAAGGAUGUUCGGCGCAAGCCAAAGCUUCUGACUGAAGCCCCAGUAAACGGCGGCCGUAACAAUAACGGUCCUAAGGUAGCGAAAUUCCUUGUCGGGUAAGUUCCGACCUGCACGAAUGGUCUAAUGAGUUGGACACUGUCUCUACCACGAGCUCGGUGAAAUUGUAGUAUCGGUGAAGAUGCCGGUUAAUCGCAACGGGACGGAAAGACCCCGUGAACCUUCACUACAACUUAACAUUGAUUUUGAAUGCCAGAUGUGUAGGAUAGUUGGGAGACUAUGAAGCAGCUUCGCUAGGAGUUGUGGAGUCAACGUUGAAAUACCAACCUUCUGUUAUUUAGAGUCUAAUCCCUGUAAGGGGAGACAUUGUUUGGUGGGUAGUUUGACUGGGGUGGUCGCCUCCUAAAAAGUAACGGAGGCUCGCAAAGGUACCCUCAGUACGGUUGGUAAUCGUACGCAGAGCGCAUUAAAAGGGUGCUUGACUGUGAGGCUGACACGCCGAGCAGGAGCGAAAGCUGGCUAAAGUGAUCCGGUGGUUCUGUAUGGAAGGGCCAUCGCUCAAAGGAUAAAAGGUACUCCGGGGAUAACAGGCUGAUCUCCCCCAAGAGCUCAUAUCGACGGGGAGGUUUGGCACCUCGAUGUCGGUUCGUCACAUCCUGGGGCUGGAGAAGGUCCCAAGGGUUCGGCUGUUCGCCGAUUAAAGUGGCACGUGAACUGGGUUCAGAACGUCGCAAGACAGUUCGGUCCCUAUCUGUUGUGAUCGUUAGUAAAUUGCGAGGACAUGACCUUAGUACGAGAGGACCGGGUCGUACGUACCGCUGGUGUAUCUGUUGUGCCGCCAGGUGCAGUGCAGAGUAGCUACGUACGGGCAAGAUAAACGCUGAAAGCAUCUAAGCGUGAAACUUACCUCAAGAUGAGUUUACUUUUAAGGGCCGUCGGAGACUACGACGUUGAUAGGCUACAGGUGUAAGGGUGGUAACAUCGGAGCCGAGUAGUACUAAUUGCCCGUAAGCCA
rnacentral:rRNA from 1 species